rnacentral:rRNA from 1 species
AGAGUUUGAUCCUGGCUCAGAUUGAACGCUGGCGGCAUGCUUUACACAUGCAAGUCGGACGGCAGCACAGAGAAGCUUGCUUCUUGGGUGGCGAGUGGCGAACGGGUGAGUAACAUAUCGGAACGUACCGAGCAGUGGGGGAUAACUAAUCGAAAGAUUAGCUAAUACCGCAUAUCUUCUGAGGAAGAAAGCAGGGGACCAUUUGGCCUUGCGCUGUUUGAGCGGCCGAUAUCUGAUUAGCUAGUUGGUGGGGUAAAGGCCUACCAAGGCGACGAUCAGUAGCGGGUCUGAGAGGAUGAUCCGCCACACUGGGACUGAGACACGGCCCAGACUCCUACGGGAGGCAGCAGUGGGGAAUUUUGGACAAUGGGCGAAAGCCUGAUCCAGCCAUGCCGCGUGUCUGAAGAAGGCCUUCGGGUUGUAAAGGACUUUUGUCAGGGAAGAAAAGGGCGGGGUUAAUACCCCUGUCUGAUGACGGUACCUGAAGAAUAAGCACCGGCUAACUACGUGCCAGCAGCCGCGGUAAUACGUAGGGUGCGAGCGUUAAUCGGAAUUACUGGGCGUAAAGCGGGCGCAGACGGUUACUUAAGCAGGAUGUGAAAUCCCCGGGCUCAACCUGGGAACUGCGUUCUGAACUGGGUGACUAGAGUGUGUCAGAGGGAGGUAGAAUUCCACGUGUAGCAGUGAAAUGCGUAGAGAUGUGGAGGAAUACCGAUGGCGAAGGCAGCCUCCUGGGAUAACACUGACGUUCAUGCCCGAAAGCGUGGGUAGCAAACAGGAUUAGAUACCCUGGUAGUCCACGCCCUAAACGAUGUCGAUUAGCUGUUGGGCAGCAUGACUGCUUAGUAGCGAAGCUAACGCGUGAAAUCGACCGCCUGGGGAGUACGGUCGCAAGAUUAAAACUCAAAGGAAUUGACGGGGACCCGCACAAGCGGUGGAGCAUGUGGUUUAAUU